rnacentral:rRNA from 1 species
UACGUAGGAUCCAAGCGUUGUCCGGAUUUACUGGGUGUAAAGGGUGCGCAGGCGGACUUGUUAGUCAGAGGUGAAAUCUCACUGCUCAACAGUGAAACUGCCUUUGAUACUGCAGGUCUUGAAUCCAGGAAGAGAGUUGUGGAAUUCCGAGUGUAGCAGUAGAAAUGUGUAGAUAUUUCGGAAGAACACCAGCGGCGAAGGCAGCAACGUUGGUCUGGUAUUGACGCUCAGGGCACGAAAGCAUGGGGGAUCAAAACAGG